rnacentral:lncRNA from 1 species
GGGAAAAUAGCUUAAGAACCAAGGAGGUUGCCAUAGUAACCGGCCAAGACAACACAGCACAUCUCAGCGGAGAGAUGCCUCACUGUUCUGCCUGUGGUGACUUGGUCUCACAUGGAACCCGGAGCUUUGUUUUGUCUAGAAAGGCUGCCCAGUAAAACUCCGGGGGAUCUGCCUAUCCCUGACACCCCAGCACGUGAGUUCAGUGAGUUAUCUUUCAGAGAACCGGGAAAAAAAUCAUGUAGAGAUGCUGACUCUCCAGUGAAGAAACACUUAGUACAUUAAAGUUCCCCCCGGGCUCAGGAAUAAAGAAGCGCGCGCAUGCUUUCCUACGCUGAUGGAACUUAGAACAGGGCGCUCUGCUAUCGAUGACCUGUAUUAAUGCCACGCAGAACAAGAUCUGGCAAGCGCCCUCCCAAUUCUGCAGGAACACUCUGUUCACACCAUAAAGCUUGAGGGAAAAGGUUAGACACCUCAUUACAACGGACAAGUCUACAGACUCACAUUAAACAAUGCUGAAGUAUGGCUUUCCUCAGCGUUGGUGGCAACUCAAGCCACCCAAGCACCCUGCAGCAUGACUGUCUGCACUUCAGCAUCAAAGCAGACAUGUGACCACUGCUCUCAGCCUGAAUAAAUCCUUGCAAGUCAUUCAGGAGGAAAGCACGAGCUUUGCACAAAGCGCUGAGGCUGAACUGGGAGAGCGCUGCCUUUACUCUUCAGCUUUCGGACAGACCACCAUUUUACAGUUACUAACUGUGAGCCUGCCUUCCUAGCUACGGAAGCCAAUACGGUACCUGUAAGGUCUCUCUGCAGACGUAGGCUAUUUGCAUUUCAGAUAAUGGCCCAGUCACUAGAAAGAAACAACAACAACAUAUUGUCAUUUGAAGCCAACAUUAAAAACAGUCUAGCCAUAAAGUUAUAAAGCAGCGUAUAACUUCUGCAUGUAUCACUGGAUGCCUUCUUUUCUGACUAAGAGCAGACUGCAUUUGCAUAAUUUAAAUGAAACAAACACUGAGAAUUUUAAAGUCAAUUCUGAAAAUAAGAGCUUUAUUCCCAGGCAGCUCUGGACAGUGAACAUGGAAAGUGCCCAUUAUGUGUAAAACUUAGUGCACGUGGCACACACAGGUCCCCAGAGAGCCAGGACUGUCAGCUCAGUCCUCAAACAGUCUCAGGAACUAAGCCAGGAGCAUGGCUGACUCUGUUCGCGAGUUACUAGCAGAGGCAUAGAGCACUGGAGGAGACCUGCUCCUGACCUCUGAGAAUAUGCAUGCGCAGGGCAUGUGCACACACGCAAAACAGUCAUAACACAAAACAAUAUAAAGACCUUAAAGGUUAGUUAGAAGUAGCCGCUUGGAAACUAGUCUAGUGACACCUUUAACAUGUUCUCUAUGCGUUACGAGGGCUGAAACCCCAUGAGUUUAUGCUUGUGGAGUCGAGAUGAACUUUCUAGAGCAAGUCCCUCAGAACAGGCAGGCCUGGUUCAGAACCUUACCAAAGAUCAAAAGGAACCAGAUGAUCUCUGGAAAGCAGAUCUUCCUCUACCAUGAAAUAGAAAAUCCUUAUGCAAGAAUCCCAUCGGGAGCUUCGAAACAGCACCUUUUGUACACGGGAGGAAACUGGUGCGCUGCCUGCUGAUGCUGAGACCCGGACUAGAGCUGACACAACAUCUCCGCAUAGAGAAAGCCCUUGAUGCUUCCUUUCAUUUCUGACUGACCACACCUACUUCCUGACACUUUCUGAUCCUUAGUAAACUGAUAAAAGAGCAUCGUACAAAGUGAAGCUGCUUU